rnacentral:rRNA from 1 species
UAGGGAAUCUUGGACAAUGGGCGCAAGCCUGAUCCAGCCAUGCCGCGUGAGUGAUGAAGGUCUUCGGACUGUAAAGCUCUUUUCUCGGGGAAGAACAGCCGGGGGAGGCAAUGCCUUCGGUGUGACGGUACCCGAGGAAUAAGCAACGGCUAACUCCGUGCCAGCAGCCGCGGUAAUACGGAGGUUGCAAGCGUUGUUCGGAAUGACUGGGCGUAAAGGGAGCGCAGGCGGCUUUUUAAGUCCGGAGUGAAAGCCCGGGGCUCAACCCCGGCGGGUCUUCGGAUACUGGGAAGCUCGAGUACGGAAGAGGAGAGUGGAAUUCCAGGUGUAGCGGUGAAAUGCGUAGAUAUCUGGAGGAACACCGGUGGCGAAAGCGGCUCUCUGGUCCGAUACUGACGCUCAGGCUCGAAAGCGUGGGGAGCAAACGGG